rnacentral:tRNA from 1 species
GGGAGCAUGGCUCAAAGGGGAGAGUGCUUGCCUAACAAGCUUGAGGCCUGAGUUUAAUCUCCUGUACUCCCC